GCGGAUGUGGUGGAAUUGGUAGACACCCUGGAUUUAGGUUCCAGUGCCGAAAGGCGUGGAGGUUCGAGUCCUCUCAUCCGCACCA
rnacentral:tRNA from 1 species